AGAGUUUGAUCCUGGCUCAGGAUGAACGCUAGCGGCAGGCUUAAUACAUGCAAGUCGAGGGGCAGCACGGGUAGCAAUACCUGGUGGCGACCGGCGCACGGGUGCGUAACGCGUAUGUAAUCUACCAUUAACCGGGGAAUAGCCCAGAGAAAUCUGGAUUAAUGCCCCAUAGUAUUAUCGAAAGGCAUCUUUUGAUAAUUAAAGCUCAGGCGGUUUUUGAUGAACAUGCGUGUCAUUAGUUUGUUGGUGAGGUAACGGCUCACCAAGACUACGAUGACUAGGGGGUCUGAGAGGAUGAUCCCCCACACUGGUACUGAGACACGGACCAGACUCCUACGGGAGGCAGCAGUAAGGAAUAUUGGGCAAUGGAGGCAACUCUGACCCAGCCAUGCCGCGUGAAGGAUUGACGGCCCUCUGGGUUGUAAACUUCUUUUGUACGGGAAUAACCCUCCGAACGUGUUCGGAGCUGAAGGUACCGUAAGAAUAAGGAUCGGCUAACUCCGUGCCAGCAGCCGCGGUAAUACGGAGGAUCCAAGCGUUAUCCGGAUUUACUGGGUUUAAAGGGUGCGUAGGCGGAUUGAUAAGUCAGUGGUGAAAGCCUGCAGCUUAACUGCAGAACUGCCAUUGAUACUGUUUUUCUUGAGUAUAUUUGAAGUGGGCGGAAUGUGUCAUGUAGCGGUGAAAUGCAUAGAUAUGACACAGAACACCAAUUGCGUAGGCAGCUCACUAAACUAUAACUGACGCUGAGGCACGAAAGCGUGGGGAUCAAACAGGAUUAGAUACCCUGGUAGUCCACGCCGUAAACGAUGAUUACUCGCUGUAUGCGAUACACAGUAUGCGGCCAAGCGAAAGCAUUAAGUAAUCCACCUGGGGAGUACGAUCGCAAGGUUGAAACUCAAAGGAAUUGACGGGGGCCCGCACAAGCGGAGGAACAUGUGGUUUAAUUCGAUGAUACGCGAGGAACCUUACCUGGGCUUAAAUGUAGAGCGACAGAUUGUGAGAAACAGAUUUUCUCUUCGGGACGAUCUACAAGGUGCUGCAUGGUUGUCGUCAGCUCGUGCCGUGAGGUGUCGGGUUAAGUCCCAUAACGAGCGCAACCCUUAUCGUUAGUUGCCAGCAUGUAAUGAUGGGGACUCUAAAGGAACUGCCUACGCAAGUAGUGAGGAAGGUGGGGAUGACGUCAAAUCAGCACGGCCCUUAUGUCCAGGGCUACACACGUGUUACAAUGGCCGAUACAAAGGGCAGCUACCAGGUGACUGGAUGCUAAUCUCCAAAGUCGGUCUCAGUUCGGAUCGAAGUCUGCAACCCGACUUCGUGAAGCUGGAUUCGCUAGUAAUCGCAUAUCAGCCAUGAUGCGGUGAAUACGUUCCCGGGCCUUGUACACACCGCCCGUCAAGCCAUGGAAGUUGGGGGUGCCUAAAGUUCGUGACCGCAAGGAGCGACCUAGGGUAAAACCAAUGACUGGGGCUAAGUCGUAACAAGGUAACC
rnacentral:rRNA from 1 species